rnacentral:rRNA from 1 species
AGUUGGUAGGGUAAGGGCCUACCAAGCCAAUGAUCGGUAGCCGGCCUGAGAGGGUGAACGGCCACAUUGGAACUGAGAGACGGUCCAAACUCCUACGGGAGGCAGCAGUGGGGAAUAUUGGGCAAUGGGCGGAAGCCUGACCCAGCAACGCCGCGUGAGGGAAGAAGGUUUUCGGAUUGUAAACCUCUGUUCUUGGGGAAGAGGAGGAGACGGUACCCAAGGAGGAAGCCCCGGCUAACUACGUGCCAGCAGCCGCGGUAAUACGUAGGGGGCGAGCGUUGUCCGGAAUGAUUGGGCGUAAAGGGCGCGCAGGCGGCCUGUCAAGUCAGUAGUGGAAGUCCAUUUUUCAAGGAUGGAAGUGCUAUAGAAACUGAUGGGCUUGAGUGCAGGAGAGGUUAUCGGAAUUCCCGGUGUAGCGGUGAAAUGCGUAGAGAUCGGGAGGAACACCAGUGGCGAAGGCGGGUAACUGGACUGCAACUGACGCUGAGGCGCGAAAGUGUGGGGAGCAAACAGGAUUAGAUACCCUGGUAGUCCACACUGUAAACGAUGAAUGCUAGGUGUAGGGGGUAUCGACCCCUUCUGUGCCGAAGUAAA